GAUGAACGCUGGCGGCGUGCCUAAUACAUGAAAGUCGAGCGAACGGACGGGAAGCUUGCUUCUCUGAGGUUAGCGGGGGACGGGUGAGUACAAGGUGGAUAACCAACUUAUAAGACUGGGAUAAUUUCGGGAAACCGGAGCUAAUACCGAAAAAUAUUUUAACCCGCAUGUUUAAAAAGGGAACGAGGGUCUUGCUGUACUUUAAAGAGGAGUCCGCGCUGCAUUAGCUAGUUGGUAAGGUAACGGCUUACCAAGGCAACGAUGCAUAGCCGACCUGAGAGGGUGAUCGGCCACACUGGAACUGAGACACGGUCCAGACUCCUACGGGAGGCAGCAGUAGGGAAUCUUCCGCAAUGGGCGAAAGCCUGACGGAGCAACGCCGCGUGAGUGAUGAAGGUCUUCGGAUCGUAAAACUCUGUUAUUAGGGAAGAACAUAUGUGUAAGUAACUGUGCACAUCUUGACGGUACCUAAUCAGAAAGCCACGGCUAACUACGUG
rnacentral:rRNA from 1 species